rnacentral:rRNA from 1 species
UAACACAUGCAAGUCGAACGGAAACGAUACUAGCUUGCUAGUAGGCGUCGAGUGGCGGACGGGUGAGUAACGCGUAGGAAUCUGCCUGAUAGUGGGGGAUAGCCCGAAGAAAUUCGGAUUAAUACCGCAUAAUCUAUUCGUAGUAAAGUGGGGGACUUUCGAGCCUCACGCUAUCAGAUGAGCCUGCGUAAGAUUAGCUUGUUGGUAGGGUAAAAGCCUACCAAGGCGACGAUCUUUAGCUGGUCUGAGAGGAUGAUCAGCCACAUCGGGACUGAGACACGGCCCGAACUCCUACGGGAGGCAGCAGUGGGGAAUAUUGGACAAUGGGGGCAACCCUGAUCCAGCAAUACCGCGUGUGUGAAGAAGGCCUGAGGGUUGUAAAGCACUUUCAAUUGUGAAGAAAAGUUAGCGGUUAAUAACCGUUAGCCUUGACGUUAACUUAGAAGAAGCACCGGCUAA